GUGGGGAAUAUUGCACAAUGGGCGGAAGCCUGAUGCAGCAACGCCGCGUGCGGGAUGACGGCCUUCGGGUUGUAAACCGCUUUCAGCAGGGACGAAGUGCAAGUGACGGUACCUGCAGAAGAAGCACCGGCUAACUACGUGCCAGCAGCCGCGGUGAUACGUAGGGUGCGAGCGUUGUCCGGAUUUAUUGGGCGUAAAGAGCUUGUAGGCGGUUGGUUGCGUCGAAAGUGCAAACUCAGGGCUUAACUCUGAGCCUGCUUUCGAUACGGGCUGACUGGAGGAAGGUAGGGGAGAAUGGAAUUCCCGGUGGAGCGGUGGAAUGCGCAGAUAUCGGGAGGAACACCAGUGGCGAAGGCGGUUCUCUGGACCUUUCCUGACGCUGAGAAGCGAAAGCGUGGGGAGCAAACAGGCUUAGAAACCCUGGUAGUCC
rnacentral:rRNA from 1 species